UAGGGAAUCUUCGGCAAUGGACGAAAGUCUGACCGAGCAACGCCGCGUGAGUGAAGAAGGUUUUCGGAUCGUAAAACUCUGUUGUUAGAGAAGAACAAGGACGUUAGUAACUGAACGUCCCCUGACGGUAUCUAACCAGAAAGCCACGGCUAACUACGUGCCAGCAGCCGCGGUAAUACGUAGGUGGCAAGCGUUGUCCGGAUUUAUUGGGCGUAAAGCGAGCGCAGGCGGUUUCUUAAGUCUGAUGUGAAAGCCCCCGGCUCAACCGGGGAGGGUCAUUGGAAACUGGGAGACUUGAGUGCAGAAGAGGGAAGUGGAAUUCCAUGUGUAGCGGUGAAAUGCGUAGAUAUAUGGAGGAACACCAGUGGCGAAGGCGGCUCUCUGGUCUGUAACUGACGCUGAGGCUCGAAAGCGUGGGGAGCAAACAGG
rnacentral:rRNA from 1 species